rnacentral:tRNA from 1 species
GGGUGGUGGCUCAGUGGUAGAGUGCUCACCUAGCACUUGAGAGGUGCUGGGUUCAAUUCUCAGCAACAUACA